rnacentral:rRNA from 1 species
AGAGUUUGAUCCUGGCUCAGGACGAACGCUGGCGGCGUGCCUAAUACAUGCAAGUCGAGCGGGCUUUGCCUUCGGGUAAAGCUAGCGGCGAACGGGUGAGUAACACGUGAGUAACCUGCCCUUAACUCUGGGAUAAGCCUGGGAAACUGGGUCUAAUACCGGAUAUGACUCCUCAUCGCAUGGUGGGGGGUGGAAAGCUUUUUGUGGUUUUGGAUGGACUCGCGGCCUAUCAGCUUGUUGGUGAGGUAAUGGCUUACCAAGGCGACGACGGGUAGCCGGCCUGAGAGGGUGACCGGUCACUCUGGGACUGAGACACGGCCCAGACUCCUACGGGAGGCAGCAGUGGGGAAUAUUGCACAAUGGGCGCAAGCCUGAUGCAGCGACGCCGCGUGAGGGAUGACGGCCUUCGGGUUGUAAACCUCUUUCAGUAGGGAAGAAGCGAAAGUGACUUACCUGUUGAAGAAGCGCCGGCUAUCUACGUGCCAGCUGCCGCGGUUUACUUAUGGCGCAUGCGUUUCCGGAAUUAUUGGGCGUAAAGAGCUCGUAGGCGGCUUGUCGUGUCUGCCUUGAAAUUUUCGGGGCU